rnacentral:rRNA from 1 species
AGUGAACGCUGGCGGUAGGCCUAACACAUGCAGGUCGAACGGCAGCACAGUAAGAGCUUGCCCUUACGGGUGGCGAGUGGCGGACGGGUGAGGAAUACAUCGGAAUCUACUUUUUCGUGGGGGAUAACGUAGGGAAACUUACGCUAAUACCGCAUACGACCUACGGGUGAAAGCAGGGGAUCUUCGGACCUUGCGCGAUUGAAUGAGCCGAUGUCGGAUUAGCUAGUUGGCGGGGUAAAGGCCCACCAAGGCGACGAUCCGUAGCUGGUCUGAGAGGAUGAUCAGCCACACUGGAACUGAGACACGGUCCAGACUCCUACGGGAGGCAGCAGUGGGGAAUAUUGGACAAUGGGCGCAAGCCUGAUCCAGCCAUACCGCGUGGGUGAAGAAGGCCUUCGGGUUGUAAAGCCCUUUUGUUGGGAAAGAAAAGCAGCAGGUUAAUACCCCGCUGUUCUGACGGUACCCAAAGAAUAAGCACCGGCUAACUUCG